rnacentral:rRNA from 1 species
CCUACGGGUGGCAGCAGUGAGGAAUAUUGGUCAAUGGACUAGAGUCUGAACCAGCCAAGUAGCGUGAAGGAUGACUGCCCUAUGGGUUGUAAACUUCUUUUAUAUGGGAAUAAAACGUUCCACGUGUGGGAUUUUGUAUGUACCAUAUGAAUAAGGAUCGGCUAACUCCGUGCCAGCAGCCGCGGUAAUACGGAGGAUCCGAGCGUUAUCCGGCUUUAUUGGGUUUAAAGGGAGCGUAGGUGGAUUGUUAAGUCAGUUGUGAAAGUUUGCGGCUCAACCGUAAAAUUGCAGUUGAAACUGGCAGUCUUGAGUACAGUAGAGGUGGGCGGAAUUCGUGGUGUAGCGGUGAAAUGCUUAGAUAGCACGAAGAACUCCGAUUGCGAAGGCAGUUCACUGGACUGCAACUGACACUGAGGCUCGAAAGUGUGGGUAUCAAACAGGAUUAGAUACCCCAGUAGUC